AGCAGCCGCGGUAAUUCCAGCUCCAAUAGCGUAUAUUAAAGUUGUUGCAGUUAAAAGCUCGUAGUUGAAUUUCGAGACCGGCCUACUGGUCGUGCUUUUGUACGUACUGGUAUAUCGGUUUCUCCUUUCUGACGAACUAUAAUGCCAUUAAUUUGGUGUUAUAGGGAAUCAGGACUGUUACUUUGAAAAAUUAGAGUGUUUAAAGCAGGCUCACGCUUGAAUACAUUAGCAUGGAAUAACGGAAUAGGACGUUUGAUUCUAUUUUGUUGGUUUCUAGGAUCGACGUAAUGAUUAAUAGGGAUAGUUGGGGGCAUUAGUAUUCAAUUGUCAGAGGUGAAAUUCUUGGAUUUAUUGAAGACUAACUACUGCGAAAGCAUUUGCCAAGGAUGUUUUCAUUAAUCAAGACGA
rnacentral:rRNA from 1 species